rnacentral:tRNA from 1 species
GCCGGAGUGACUGAGUGGUUAAAGGUGCCGGUCUUGAGAACCGGUGGGACAUCUGCUCCCUCCUGGGUUCGAAUCCCAGCUCCGGCG